AUCAAUCUAUGGAAAGAAAUUAAGAGCAUCAAAUUUUCUACAAAAGUGCAAAUCCAAAUCGUUUCAGUUUAUUUUAUUUUUUUCAAACCUUUCAGAAGUAAUAAUUUCAGAGUUAUCUACAUUGAUCCCAGAAAACUAAGGAAAGGGCAUAUCUAUGUUGUUUAUAGGUAUCCAGCUCCUUUUCUGACCAGUAUGUUCUCCUCUGUAUUUUAUUUUAUUUCUUUUUUUUUAAUCUAAAAAGUUUUUUUUUUUGUGUGUGUGUGUGUGUGUGUAAAAAAAACAUUUGCAAUGCAGAUACUUGUUUUUUGAAAGGGUCUAGAAGCAGCACUUUUGUUAGCAGAAUUCUGGUAAGCUCUGUUGGCUAAAGGCACUAAUGCAAGAUUAGGAAGGAAAGGGUAUAUUGAAACCAUCCUCUGUUUUUGAUGAUGACGACAGACAGGCCCCAUGCUGACAUGAGAUGGCUCAUGAUAGCAUUGAUGUGAGGUGCAGAGAUGGUGAGGACCACAACACCCACACACAAGGUCUUCCUUGAGGGGUACCCAUGCUUGUUGCCUGUCCUGAUCUUAGGCAGUGACUAACUUCUCUCUCCUGCUCUUCCAGCCCUUCCAAAUAUUUUGAAACCCAAUUUUCUGUUUCAAAUCCCUCUCUGCUUGAUAUACUCAGAGUGAUUUUUGUUCUUCUUAUAAAGCCCCAAGGAGACAGAAGCAUUCACUGAUGGCCAGUAGGAAGAGGAGGGAAGAAUAGAAGGCAGAGGAAGAAAGAAUGAGAGGUACAUUUUUCCAGUGUGUGGCAAUUGAGACUGCAGUCUAAAAACUCAGGAGGAAAGAAUGCUUCAUGACUUUCAAAAAUGGUGUUCAUCUGCUGCCAUUUUAUGCUUUAGAAUGCCCUGGCCAUGCCAAUCAGAUCUGGCUGAAAACUUGCCCAAAACGCCAAGUCUUCAAAUACACCUCUUCACAUUAGGCUAUUUAACAAGAUUGGCUUCUCUCCUCCCAAACCAUGGCAUGCCCUCAGUAAGCUGGUACUGUGCAACUUUUUGACAAUAAAAAACAUUGUUUCUUUC